UUGUUAUUUGGAAAGAAAAUGAAACUUCUCACUCAUUGUUGAAAGGAUUUUGGAAAAAUUAUAUUUUUCAAACUUACCCGUAUUUUUGGCAUCUUCGGCAAAAGAAUUGAAUUUCUACUAAGAUAUUUGAAAAGCAUGCCUAUUUUCUGGAACUAUGAACGAGUUGUGCAUUUUUACUUCGGAGAUACCCCUUUACUUCUUGUGUUAUGCUGUUAUGAACUGUUGUAGAAUUCCGGUAUGAGACCCGACCUUGUGAUAGCUCGUCACUGCUUUCAACCUAAGGUUAGGUUUGUUACUUACUCAGUACAUGGGGUCGAUUGUACUGAUACUACACUUUUGCACAUUGCGUGCAAAUGUUGGCUACAGUUGUUGCUGUGUUCGAGGGUUGCUGAAUUUGAAGAUGUACCCGCGCCCAUGUUGUAGCUGCCUCUGUUGUUCUGGGUAGCCUUAGAUUAAAUUGUGCUGUUUAUGUAGUUUUCAAACAGACUAUGUGUUUAUUUCAUUUCCGCUUUGUAAAUUCUAUUCUUAGUAGCUCAUGAUUUGUACUACCAAUCAUUGAGAAAUAUAAUAGAUCCAGAUAAUUUAUUCUGUUUAAUUGACUUGUUAACAUUAUUGAAAUUGGAUAGUUAUUAAUUGGCUUACCUAGCGGGUUGAGUUAGGUGCCAUCACGACUAACGUAUUUUGGGUCGUGACAAAUUUUAAUGCAUAAAUUAAAGUUUUUGAGAGUCAAAACUUUUGAUGUAAAAGGGCGCCCACAACUAGGAUAGCGAGUCGACUAGCUUUCAGCAGGUAGAAAAUUAAUCUUUUUUCUUUCUGUUUCCACCAGUUUCUAAGUUGUCAAUUUAAGGAUGUGCCGUUUCUGUUUUCCAGGUAUUUAGUUCACAAGAGCAACAUCUGCACUCAAUGUGAUGUCUGAAAACAUUGACAAGAAGCUAUAUUUUUUUGGCAGCCAGAUAUGUGCUAUCAAUUGUAACUUCCACUUUGCAAUGAUUACGGAUUUGCUAGUGAGGUGCAUUGGAAAUGAAAGUAGAGCAAAAAGAAUAAUUAAAGUCUAAAGCGUGCUCGAAACCAGUUGAAAAGAAGAAAGAAAGAAGUGAGCAACCGACAAAUGAAAAGCUGACGAAGCCAGGCCUAGAGCAGGCGUUAGAGCAGGCUGGGCGAGCCCUUUAGCUCGCGUGAGAGCUGGCGAGACGAGGUAGAAGGCGAGAUCCACCGAGCAUUGAAGCUGGCGAAGCCAGGCCUGAGGCGAGCUCGAGCUGGCGUUAUACCUCGCGAGGCCAGGUCUGAGGAGCGCACAUUCCGAGCUAUGAAGGCUUAUUUCGUCUCCUGGUUUAACUAGGACUUGGCCUACGCGUUUAGGUCUUUUCCUAAACAUAUAAAUAGACCUAAAACGCCACUUUUGAAGGACUUUUGCAACCGGAGGCAAGGAUAGCUCGUGGAACAAUUGUUGGGAGUAAGAAUCAUCGAUUUCUACAUCCCUUUAUCCUUACUUUGUAAUUUAAUUAUGCAAAAUAUUUUGGAUAUUGUUACUAUGAGUAUGAGUAGUGUAUACGGUCGAAACCUAUUAAGUCAGUCGUAUGGACUGGUCGAGAUAACAAUAUUUCGAUCGAAAGGUAUCUACGUAAGGUCAGGUCGAGGUCCGAAGAAAAGGCUUCAGGAUUCGAGCUCCAAGACCGAUCAAAGAUCAGUUCGGUAUCAUUAUCGGGACCACGACCAAAUCGAACCACGAGGCAAAAGGUUGUCAGAGAUGCACAGACUGACCGACACCCACCCCGAAUAUCAAGACACCGAGUCAGGAUCGAGCUCGAGUCAAGGCUGAUGACUCGACCCGAUAUCGAGUUCGAGUCAGUAUCGAGCUCACAGACAAGGCCGUUACAACCGCACUAAGGGAGAGAAUCCCGGCGGGAAUUAGGAAAAAGACAAUACAUCAUGGGCUCUCCACUACAUAUUUUUUAUUAUAUAUAAAGUAAGAUCCAUCUACUAUAAAGGGAGGAUUAUGGUAAGCAUAAGGCAUGGACACAUUGUAACAAAAGAUUACUUCUCAUAUUGAACGAUAUCUCCUUGUGCUUGUUUUACUUUA